rnacentral:rRNA from 1 species
AUUGAACGCUGGCGGCAGGCUUAACACAUGCAAGUCGAGCGGAGAUGAGGUGCUUGCACCUUAUCUUAGCGGCGGACGGGUGAGUAAUGCUUAGGAAUCUGCCUAUUAGUGGGGGACAACAUUCCGAAAGGAAUGCUAAUACCGCAUACGCCCUACGGGGGAAAGCAGGGGAUCUUCGGACCUUGCGCUAAUAGAUGAGCCUAAGUCGGAUUAGCUAGUUGGUGGGGGAAAGGCCUACCAAGGCGACGAUCUGUAGCGGGUCUGAGAGGAUGAUCCGCCACACUGGGACUGAGACACGGCCCAGACUCCUACUGGAGGCAGCAGUGGGGAAUAUUGGACAAUGGGCGCAAGCCUGAUCCAGCCAUGCCGCGUGUGUGAAGAAGGCCUUCGGGUUGUAAAGCACUUUCAGUAGGGAGGAAGCGUUGUGUGUUAAUAGUACACAGCGUUGACGUUACCUACAGAAGAAGCACCGGCUAACUCUGUGCCAGCCGCCGCCGUAACAC